GAUGAACGCUGGCGGCGUGCCUAAUACAUGCAAGUCGAGCGAACGGACGAGAAGCUUGCUUCUCUGAUGUUAGCGGCGGACGGGUGAGUAACACGUGGAUAACCUACCUAUAAGACUGGGAUAACUUCGGGAAACCGGUGCUAAUACCGGAUAAUAUUUUGAACCGCAUGGUUCAAAAGUGAAAGACGGUCUUGCUGUCACUUAUAGAUGGAUCCGCGCUGCAUUAGCUAGUUGGUAAGGUAACGGCUUACCAAGGCAACGAUGCAUAGCCGACCUGAGAGGGUGAUCGGCCACACUGGAACUGAGACACGGUCCAGACUCCUACGGGAGGCAGCAGUAGGGAAUCUUCCGCAAUGGGCGAAAGCCUGACGGAGCAACGCCGCGUGAGUGAUGAAGGUCUUCGGAUCGUAAAACUCUGUUAUUAGGGAAGAAAAUAUGUGUAAGUAACUGUGCACAUCUUGACGGUACCUAAUCAGAAAGCCACGGCUAACUACGUG
rnacentral:rRNA from 1 species